AUUGAACGCUGGCGGCAUGCUUUACACAUGCAAGUCGAACGGUAACAGGCCUUCGGGUGCUGACGAGUGGCGAACGGGUGCGUAAUGCAUCGGAACGUACCCAGAGGUGGGGGAUAACGCAGCGAAAGCUGUGCUAAUACCGCAUGUGAUCUGAGGAUGAAAGCGGGGGACCGAGCAGCAAUGUUUGGCCUCGCGCCUUUGGAGCGGCCGAUGUCGGAUUAGCUAGUUGGUGGGGUAAAGGCCUACCAAGGCGACGAUCCGUAGCUGGUCUGAGAGGACGAACAGCCACACUGGGACUGAGACACGGCCCAGACUCCUACGGGAGGCAGCAGUGGGGAAUUUUGGACAAUGGGCGCAAGCCUGAUCCAGCAAUGCCGCGUGCGGGAAGAAGGCCUUCGGGUUGUAAACCGCUUUUGGCAGGAACGAAACGGUGUCCGCUAAUACCGGGCGCUAAUGACGGUACCUGCAGAAUAAGCACCGGCUAACUACGUG
rnacentral:rRNA from 1 species